rnacentral:rRNA from 1 species
UACGGGGGGGGCAAGCGUUGUUCGGAAUUACUGGGCGUAAAGGGCGCGUAGGCGGCCAACUAAGUCGGAUGUGAAAUCCCCAGGCUCAACUUGGGAACUGCAUCCGAUACUGGUCGGCUUGAAUCCGGGAGAGGGAUGCAGAAUUCCAGGUGUAGCGGUGAAAUGCGUAGAUAUUGGGAGGAACACCAGUGGCGAAGGCGGCUCACUGGACCGGAACUGACGCUGAGGAGCGAAAGCGUGGGGAGCGAACAGG